AAUUAAUUGUGCAAUUUUAAAGGAGGAAAAUACCUACAAAGGAAUUUUUUGCGACAAUGCAUUCCAAGUAGUUAUGGAGUUCGGUUGUAUUGAUUGCAACCAAUAUUGUGUUUUAUCCCUUAAAGAGAAAGGAAAAAGCCUAAGCCUCUUUGCAUGUUUAGAAACUCCAUUGUAUUUGAAAAUAUCACAAAUUUGGAGGAAAUUAGUUAUGUGUUAGUGUGGAUCUUCACUAGGCAAUCCUCCAAAUUUACAAGUCUGUUGGAUCAACUGUAGU
rnacentral:lncRNA from 1 species